UACGUAGGGGGCAAGCGUUGCCCGGAUUUAUUGGGCGUAAAGAGCGUGUAGGCGGCCAAGCAGGUCCGCUGUGAAAACUCGAGGCUCAACCUCGAGACGUCGGUGGAAACCGUUUGGCUAGAGUCCGGAAGAGGAGAGUGGAAUUCCCGGUGUAGCGGUGAAAUGCGCAGAUAUCGGGAAGAACACCCGUGGCGAAGGCGGCUCUCUGGGACGGUACUGACGCUGAGACGCGAAAGCGUGGGGAGCGAACAGG
rnacentral:rRNA from 1 species